UACAGAGGGUGCGAGCGUUAAUCGGAAUUACUGGGCGUAAAGCGUGCGUAGACGGUAGCGUAAGUCAGAUGUGAAAGCCCCGGGCUCAACCUGGGAAUUGCAUUUGAGACUGCUCUGCUCGGGUGCGGAAGAGGGAAGCGGAAUUUCCGGUGUAGCGGUGAAAUGCGUAGAUAUCGGAAGGAACACCAGCGGCGAAAGCGGCUUCCUGGUCCGACACCGACGUUCAGGCACGAAAGCGUGGGGAGCAAACAGG
rnacentral:rRNA from 1 species